UACAGAGGUGGCAAGCGUUGUUCGGAAUUACUGGGCGUAAAGGGCGAGUAGGUGGCCAUCUAAGUCAGACGUGAAAUCCCCCGGCUUAACCUGGGAACUGCGUCUGAUACUGGACGGCCUGAGUAUGGGAGAGGAACGUAGAAUUCCAGGUGUAGCGGUGAAAUGCGUAGAUAUCUGGAGGAAUACCGGUGGCGAAGGCGGCGUUCUGGACCAUUACUGACACUGAAUCGCGAAAGCUAGGGGAGCAAACGGG
rnacentral:rRNA from 1 species